UACGGAGGGAGCUAGCGUUGUUCGGAUAUACUGGGCGUAAAGCGCACGUAGGCGGCGCAGCAAGUCAGGGGUGAAAUCCCGGAGCUCAACUCCGAAACUGCACUUGAUACUGCCUUGCUCGAGUACUGGAGAGGAGAUUGGAAUUUACGGUGUAGCAGUGAAAUGCGUAGAUAUCGUAAGGAAGACCAGUGGCGAAGGCGAAUCUCUGGACAGUUACUGACACUGAGGCACGAAGGCCAGGGGAGCAAACGGGG
rnacentral:rRNA from 1 species